CUUUCCCCGCAUCAAAGUCGUCUCCACUUGCCCCGUCUGCGGUCUCCCGCUCAAAGCCAACUUAGCUUUCCCUUUUGCCGGCCGUGAUCAGCGACCGACUCCUGGUCGCGCAUUCCCGGCCUUUUCUUCGUUUGGAGCGCGACGAGUCCGCCGUCGCUCUUCGCGUUCCGAUCUCUCCCUUGUUAUUGUUGCCUUGGUCAUAUUCUGAUGCCUUUGAAUCAGCAGCUGAGAUGACGGACUCUGCUUUUCUAAGGUUAUUAUUUUCCGUAGCCAUCUGGUGCAUUGCCUAUGCUGUGGUUGCAGUUCAAAUGUCUAUCCGACUCUUCAAUUUCAAUCGUUCCUCCUUGAACUAGUAUUGAUUUCAGCAAAUAUACAGUGCGACUCAAGCUUUUUGACUGAAGAUUGGUUGCAGUUGGGUGUUCAGCUUCUGAAAGCGUUCUGCUAUCCUCAAAUUGCUUAGUGGUUGUAAAAAUGAACAUAUGGAAUUGAACUUUUUUUUUUAUUUCACUGCAUAUGCAGUAUAUGCUUCUACCGUAAUCGGUGGCUUUUGAGAGAUGUAAUGAUCGAUUGUGAUUCUUUCAAGAGUAAAUCUAAAUUAUAUUGUUCUACAGUCUUAAAGUGUAAUGAAAAUUAUAAGACUAAGAAUGUCGAUU